rnacentral:rRNA from 1 species
GAUGAACGCUAGCGAUAGGCUUAACACAUGCAAGUCGUGGGGCAGCACAAGGUAGCUUGCUAUCUGGGUGGCGACCGGCGCACGGGUGCGUAACGCGUAUGCAACUUGCCCUAUACAGGAGGAUAACCCGUCGAAAGACGGACUAAUACUGCGUAUGCUCACAACUUGGCAUCAAGUGGUGAGGAAAGAAAUUCGGUAUAGGAUAGGCAUGCGUCCCAUUAGCUUGUUGGUGAGGUAACGGCUCACCAAGGCAACGAUGGGUAGGGGAACUGAGAGGUUUAUCCCCCACACUGGUACUGAGACACGGACCAGACUCCUACGGGAGGCAGCAGUGAGGAAUAUUGGUCAAUGGGCGCGAGCCUGAACCAGCCAAGUCGCGUGAAGGAUGACUGUCUUAUGGAUUGUAAACUUCUUUUAUACGGGAAUAACAAGAGUCACGUGUGACUCCCUGCAUGUACCGUAUGAAUAAGCAUCGGCUAACUCCGUG